rnacentral:rRNA from 1 species
GACGAACGCUGGCGGCGUGCUUAACACAUGCAAGUCGAACGGAAAGGCCCCUUUGGGGGUACUCGAGUGGCGAACGGGUGAGUAACACGUGAGUAACCUGCCCUUGACUUCGGGAUAACUUCAGGAAACUGGGGCUAAUACCGGAUAGGAAUCCUUGCUGCAUGGUGGGGGUUGGAAAGCUUCGGCGGUUUUGGAUGGACUCGCGGCUUAUCAGCUUGUUGGUGGGGUAGUGGCUUACCAAGGCUUUGACGGGUAGCCGGCCUGAGAGGGCGACCGGCCACAUUGGGACUGAGAUACGGCCCAGACUCCUACGAGAGGCAGCAGUGGGGAAUAUUGCACAAUGGGCGGAAGCCUGAUGCAGCAACGCCGCGUGCGGGAUGACGGCCUUCGGGUUGUAAACCGCUUUCAGCAGGGGCGAAGCUUGUGGUGACGGUACCUGCAGAAGAAGCACCGGCUAACUACGUG